rnacentral:lncRNA from 1 species
AUGCGUGGUGCAGGUGAUGCAUGGCAGCAGUGCAUGCUGCCAGAAGUGCAUGGUGCAAGGGAUGCAUGGCAGCAGUGCGUGCUGCCAGAGGUGCAUAGUGCAAAGGGGAUGCAUGGCAGCAAUGCAUGCUGCCAGAGAUGCACGGUGCAGGUGAUGCAUGGCAGCAACGCAUGGUGCCAGAGGUGCGUGGUGCAAGGGCUGCGUGGCAGCAGUGCGUGGUGCCAGAUGUGCAUGGUGCAGGUGAUGCAUGGCAGCAAUGCAUGCUGCCAGAGGUGCAUGGUGCAGGUGAUGCAUGGCAGCAAUGCGUGCUGCAAGGCGAUGCAGCACAGUGCACAGUGCCGGUGGUGCAUGGAAGCAAUGCAUGGCGGUGGUGCAUGGAAGCAAUGCAUGGUGCAGCAGUGCAUGAUGCUGGCAGUGCAUGCCGGGAGCACGCUGCAUUCCCCCCUGCUCCCGCUUGGCUGUAUAUUUAGGACACUCCUGUGCAAAACACCAAGUAUGUUGGAAGGCGUCCAGGCGCGCUCGCAUUCCUCGGGGUGGAAUCUGCCCCCGCGAACGCCGCCUGACCUUUCCCAGUUUGGGCUGCAGGAACAAUACUGGGGCCCAUCCUGUGCUCAGCCUGGGGCAAGCAGACCCCCCCUUACCCCCCCGCCCCCCCCUCAGUCCCUUCCCACGCGCUCAGCACUACCGGUCAAGGCGUGCACGGAGUUGAUGGGGUCAGACCUGGAUCCGAGCUGUCCCCCCACCACGGUGCUUCUCUGGUGCUGAUGUGCAUGGGGGGAGCAGACCCCCCUCCCCCCCACGGGGAGCACAGCCCCAAAUGGGGCCGUGCAUGAGUGCUGGAGGCCCUCACGGUGCUCCCCAUCGAAUGCCCCGGUGUGUUGGACUCCGGCUGCCCGGUGGGGGGGGGGGCAGUGUGUGUGGGCAGCCCCCAGCCUCAUUUCACCUGGCUCCAGCGGGUGGUUGGAUAGCAAAGCCCCCCCCGCUCCCCCUCCCCCGGCUGCUGGCACCGACAGCUGG